CAGCUUUGUGUUGCCUGUUCACUUUCAAAACUAGUGAAUGUGGUAUUAAAAAUGUGUAAAUUAAACGCUUUGCAGCCUUUUCCUGUCCUUAAAUUUGGUAUCUUUGGUGUAGGAGCUGCAUAAGUAACAGUU
rnacentral:snoRNA from 1 species